rnacentral:rRNA from 1 species
GACGUAGGGCGCGAGCGUUGUCCGGAUUUAUUGGGCGUAAAGAGCUCGUAGGCGGCUUGUCGCGUCGUCCGUGAAAACUUGGGGCUCAACCCCAAGCUUGCGGUCGAUACGGGCAGGCUAGAGUUCGGUAGGGGAGACUGGAAUUCCUGGUGUAGCGGUGAAAUGUGUUGAUAUCAGGAGGAACACCCAUGGCGAAGGCAGCAAACUGGGCAUUAACUGACGCUGAGGCGCGAAAGCGUGGGUAGCAAACAGG